GAAGGGGCGAGGAGCUUUGCAGUUGUGUGCGAGUGUGUACAGCUUUGAAUCUGCUGUUAUUAAGUUGCUGGUGCUGAAAUAACACUUAUUAUUUAUGAUCUAACUGAAAUGGGAACACUGGAAACUUCUUUGAAACUGAAGAAAAAAAUGAAAAAGAAGUUUUUACAAUCAAAACUGCCAUGAAGACUGCUUUACCCAAAAUUUUGGUCCACAGCUUUCAUUGAAUUACUUAUCAGGGCAAACAAAGUUUAGCCAUGUGAACACGUUCCAAUUUUGUUGGAAAUAAUUUGGAUCCAGCUAUCUUUAUACAAUGGUGAGUUCGUAUUGCAUCUCAUGGCUAAAAUACUGAGGUAAAGGCUUUUGGAUCUUUGUGUGUGUGUGUGUGCAUGUGACAAAAACAAGCAAUGGGGAAAGGAGUCCCUAUUUAAU
rnacentral:lncRNA from 10 species